rnacentral:rRNA from 1 species
UACGGAGGGUGCAAGCGUUAUCCGGAUUCACUGGGCGUAAAGGGUGCGUAGGUGGUGAGGUAAGUCGGAUGUGAAAUCUCCGGGCUUAACCCGGAACGGUCAAGUGAUACUGUCGGGCUAGAGUGCAGAAGGGGCAACUGGAAUUCUCGGUGUAGCGGUGAAAUGCGUAGAUAUCGAGAGGAACACCUGCGGCGAAGGCGGGUUGCUGGGCUGACACUGACGCUGAGGCGCGAAAGCCAGGGGAGCGAACGGG